rnacentral:rRNA from 1 species
UACGGAGGGAGCUAGCGUUGUUCGGAAUUACUGGGCGUAAAGCGCGCGUAGGCGGCUUUGUAAGUUAGAGGUGAAAGCCCGGGGCUCAACUCCGGAAUUGCCUUUAAGACUGCAUCGCUAGAAUCCGGGAGAGGUGAGUGGAAUUCCGAGUGUAGAGGUGAAAUUCGUAGAUAUUCGGAGGAACACCAGUGGCGAAGGCGACUCGCUGGACUGAUACUGACGCUGAGGUGCGAAAGCGUGGGGAGCAAACAGG